GACGAACGCUGGCGGCGUGCUUAACACAUGCAAGUCGAACGGAAAGGCCCUGCUUUUGUGGGGUGCUCGAGUGGCGAACGGGUGAGUAACACGUGAGUAACCUGCCCUUGACUUUGGGAUAACUUCAGGAAACUGGGGCUAAUACCGGAUAGGAGCUCCUGCUGCAUGGUGGGGGUUGGAAAGUUUCGGCGGUUGGGGAUGGACUCGCGGCUUAUCAGCUUGUUGGUGGGGUAGGGGCUUACCAAGGCUUUGACGGGUAGCCGGCCUGAGAGGGUGACCGGCCACAUUGGGACUGAGAUACGGCCCAGACUCCUACGGGAGGCAGCAGUAGGGAAUAUUGCACAAUGGGCGGAAGCCUGAUGCAGCAACGCCGCGUGCGGGAUGACGGCCUUCGGGUUGUAAACCGCUUUCGCCUGUGACGAAGCGUGAGUGACGGUAAUGGGUAAAGAAGCACCGGCUAACUACGUG
rnacentral:rRNA from 1 species